AAGAUGUGUUUAUCAAAUAAAAGCUGCUAACUUAUUAUUUAAGUGGUUUAUAAUCCAUUUACAUCUUAU
rnacentral:tRNA from 1 species